GAAAACUAGUUUUCCGUAGCUGGGAGGUGUCUGAGGAAAAGGUGCUUUUAAGGAGAGGUGUAGGUCCCCCCAUACCUCUGAGCUCUUAAAUCUUCCCACUCCAUCCUUGCUACAGGCUUGCACCCCAAUCUGGAGAGGAAGGAGCUAGAGCGCAGAGCUCAGAAAUUGCAGUGAUCAUUCAUUCUGUUUCUCUUCCGGCACUUCUCUGCAGAGCUGCAAGGUAUUAUGAUCGCUGAGUGAAGGUUCAGAGAGAUCGAAUUGCCCAGCCUCACUCUAGAACAAAAGACUGAAGAUUGUGCUUUCCAGGCUGAGCUGGAAUGCAGGUGCCUUGCCAGAGAGGAGUGGAGCAGAGCAGGAGCAGACUAGCGUGAAGCACAGCAGACCUUCCUGGAGCACAGCGGAGCAGAGCUGGGUGGAGAAGGGCCUGGCCCCAGAGCUCGUCCACAGCAGUACUGUUUUCAGAGCUAUGCUGUAUUGCAACUGUGCUGUUUUGCAUUGAAUAAAGUUUCCUUCUUUACCAUAUGCUCCCCACACCCUCAAAAAACUAAAAAAAAAUAAAUAAAAAUGAAG